GUCACUCUGCUGGUGUUUUUUACCUCAGUUUCUCAUAAUAGCAGCUCUGUGGAUGUGGUUUUUCAUCAAAAUGCAUCUCGUUUCAAAACCAAACUGAAAACAAAAGUGAAGAGUCUGAUGUUCCACGUCUGUACAUCUGCUGUCUGUCCAUCAGAGCCGCUGCAGUGAUGUCAUUGUGUUCUUCCAUUGUGACAUCAUCACCUAGCAACAGUCAGAACUGUCAGCAGCAACAUCAGUGAUACAGUGAUGUCAUAGACAGUGACAUAUCAUUGACUGUCAGUCUGCAAAGUCUAAUGCUCAGAUCUAUUCAUAGUAAGAGCCUUUCUUCAGACAUCAAACUAUUUAUUAACAAAGUCUCUUUCUUUUCCCAAAAAAGGACUGAAAAAUGUCUGCAAAAAAAAAAAAAAUCUAGGUUUUGGUC